AUGGCUGCCGGGAUAGGCUCCCUCUCCCUCUGCGCAUGUGCGCUCCCGCCCCGCCUCCAUUGGUCCCGCCUCCCAAGUUGCACCUCCGGCCCUACAGCUUUCUUUUCCUCCCGCUUUCUCUCUUCUACCCGAAUCGGCUGGGCCCGGAAGUGGAUGCCGCCGCUCGGCGGAGAAGACGAGGGGGAGGGGGAAAGUGCUUCCGGGGAAACGGGCCCCGGGCUGGUGUUUGUAAACUUGCCUCGGUCCCUGCGGGGGCAACGGCAGCGGCGGGGCUGGCACCGGAGAGUGAGCACUGGGGGCGGGGUCCUCCCGUACGGGAACACUGCUGGAGGCUGCGCCCGGCAGGUAAGAGCCCGUCCCGGGAAGCAAAACGCGGCCCAGGCAGACGACUGCGCCUCAGGCCCCUCGGCAGGCCGCGGGGGAGAAGCGCGGGCGCGUGCGAGGCAGGCGGGGGAGGAGGAGGAGCAGCGGCGGCGGCGGGCGGCAGCGCGCGCGCGCACUCCUCUUUCUCCCCACCCACCCCCUCCCGACACCCUACACCCCAGGCCCGGGCCCGGCCAAUCCUGCCCGAGCGCGCGCGCCCGGCCUCGGCUCCGGGCCGGGGGGGGCGGGGGUCGAGGGGGAAGUCUCGGGCGCGAGCACGCAACCCGGCGCCCGGGGGAGCCCGCACUGCCCGCCGCGUCUCCGCUCCCCUCCCUCGCGGCCCGGCCCGGAGCCUGCCCCCACGUGGGGCCUGGCCCGUGGGCCGCCCCUCACUUCCGCCUCCCGGCCCGGCCUUCCCAAGAGCUUGUCCCCUCCCAGCCUACCACCUCCCCGUUACUUUGUGCGCCCUACGCCGGGCACGGGCAUAGCUUCCCGGGGGGGGACCCACCUUCCCAGCCGCUGGAGCUUUGUUCCCCCCUCUCCAUGCCCGGGGAGAAGGCUCGGGGGUGCGUUCCCCAUUGUCCCACAGGGCCUCUGAGCACCUGUACAGGGCUGAGAGGAAAGAGCUCGGGCUUCUGCAGGCUUUCAGAAACAAACCUCCCUCAUAUUCCUUUUCGUCUCCAAAACUUGUAG
rnacentral:lncRNA from 1 species